UCAUUAAAUUGACAUGGUCUAUCUUUAGCCACGAUUUAGCUCUUAUUUGGACAGGCUACGUGUAGUCUGCUUUUAGCCCACCCGGCGAAAUAGAGGCAAUCAGUGGUCUUAUAGCAACGGCUUGGUUGUAGCCCUGUUUCAGACCAAAUAGGUUACAUGUAGUUUUCACCCAUGCAGCUGUUGAGAUGCGUGAUAUCAUAUAAUCAAAUGCAAGUAAACAUUUAAAUUAUCUUUAUUUUCGCUGUAACGUUCACUACAUUGACUUUCAUUUUAAUUUAAAACAAGAUGCAAUUACUAUUUUCAACCGCUAGAUGGCAGCUGUAGCCCUACUACACAUGACUACUGGCAACGCGAGACUUGAAAUUUAGACAUCAGGGACGGCCCUGGUAGACAUCAGAGUUGCCACAUCUCGCAAUAAAGACAUCUGCCAUUUUUAAACGAGGGAGACGUUACGACCUCGGCCUUUCAGCGAGCAACGGGCAAGAGUUUACUGCAAACACUGGAAGCAAAAAGACAUUUACUUUGGUCUUUUAUGGAUCCCAUUUACCCGAGAGACUGGCGCCAACCGAGAGACCCAUCUGAUGCUCUUCCUGUAUCAAGUAGCAGCGUAGAUGAAGAUCUAGAUUUGGAUGUAGCCAAACAAUUUAUUUUAUCAUUAUUUAUGUUUUUAUUGCCGCAUGUUGUUAAAAUUGUUUGUAUUUUCAUAUAUAUAUGAGAGGUUUUGUAUUUAUAAUAUUUUAGCAAUAAUUCCUUUAUAUUUUCAUCACGUUGUAUUAUCUUAAGUUGUCUACGUUGUAAUUCUUUUUCUUAAUAAAAUCUUUAUAUUUAA